rnacentral:lncRNA from 1 species
GUUACAGGAGAACCUUGAACAUACUGUUUGAGAUAAUUCAGUUAAUAAUGAAUUGUGAUGAACUGAGAACUAUAAAAUAGUGUGAAUGGGAGACACAGUGAUGUUACUAUAAGAAAGUUGUAGAAGGUGGAGGAUACAAUGAUGAGGAUAAGGAUGAAGAUGAGGAAAAGAAAGAGAAGAAAGAAAACCUCAAAGUCAAUAAAACUUUAGUAAUUUU